UAUAGUCUCUUGUCCAUGCUGUU
rnacentral:misc_RNA from 1 species